GAGCAAACAGGAUUAGAUACCCUGGUAGUCCACGCCCUAAACGAUGUCUACUAGUUGUCGGGUCUUAAUUGACUUGGUAACGCAGCUAACGCGUGAAGUAGACCGCCUGGGGAGUACGGUCGCAAGAUUAAAACUCAAAGGAAUUGACGGGGACCCGCACAAGCGGUGGAUGAUGUGGAUUAAUUCGAUGCAACGCGAAAAACCUUACCUACCCUUGACAUGUACAGAAUCCCGAAGAGAUUUGGGAGUGUUCGAAAGAAAGCUGUAACACAGGUGCUGCAUGGCUGUCGUCAGCUCGUGUCGUGAGAUGUUGGGUUAAGUCCCGCAACGAGCGCAACCCUUGUCAUUAGUUGCUACGAAAGGGCACUCUAAUGAGACUGCCGGUGACAAACCGGAGGAAGGUGGGGAUGACGUCAAGUCCUCAUGGCCCUUAUGGGUAGGGCUUCACACGUCAUACAAUGGUACAUACAGAGGGCCGCCAACCCGCGAGGGGGAGCUAAUCCCAGAAAGUGUAUCGUAGUCCGGAUUGUAGUCUGCAACUCGACUACAUGAAGUUGGAAUCGCUAGUAAUCGCGGAUCAGCAUGUCGCGGUGAAUACGUUCCCGGGUCUUGUACACACCGCCCGUCACACCAUGGGAGCGGGUUUUACC
rnacentral:rRNA from 1 species